rnacentral:rRNA from 1 species
CAAUAGCGUAUAUUAAAGUUGUUGCAGUUAAAAAGCUCGUAGUUGGAUUUCUGGUGGGAGCGAUCGGUCUGGCGCUUAGCGCGAGUACUUGCAUCGUCUCCGGCCAUCCUUGGGGAGAGUCUGUCUGGCAUUAAGUUGUCGGGCAGAGGAUCCUCAUCGUUUACUGUGAAAAAAUUAGAGUGUUCAAAGCAGGCUUAUGCCGUUGAAUAUAUUAGCAUGGAAUAAUAAGAUAGGACUUUGGUACUAUUUUGUUGGUUUGCGCACCAAAGUAAUGAUAAAUAGGGACAGUUGGGGGUAUUCGUAUUCCGUUGUCAGAGGUGAAAUUCUUGGAUUUACGGAAGACGAACUACUGCGAAAGCAUUUACCAAGGAUGUUUUCAUUAA